rnacentral:rRNA from 1 species
UAGGAAUAUGCCUUGAAGUGGGGGACAACUUGGGGAAACUCAAGCUAAUACCGCAUAAUCUCUUCGGAGAAAAGCUAGGGACCUUUUGGCCUGGCGCUUCAAGAUUAGCCUGCGUACGAUUAGCUAGUUGGUAGGGUAAAGGCCUACCAAGGCGACGAUCGUUAGCUGGUCUGAGAGGAUGAUCAGCCACACUGGAACUGAGACACGGUCCAGACUCCUACGGGAGCAG